AUUGGAGGGCAAGUCUGGUGCCAGCAGCCGCGGUAAUUCCAGCUCCAAUAGCGUAUAUUAAAGUUGUUGCAGUUAAAAAGCUCGUAGUUGAAACUUGGGCCUGGCUGGCGGGUCCGCCUCACCGCGUGCACUCGUCCGGCCGGGCCUUCCUUCUGAAGAACCUCAUGCCCUUCACUGGGCGUGCUGGGGAAUCAGGACUUUUACUUUGAAAAAAUUAGAGUGUUCAAAGCAGGCCUUUGCUCGAAUACGUUAGCAUGGAAUAAUAAAAUAGGGCGUGCGUUUCUAUUUUGUUGGUUUCUAGAGACGCCGCAAUGAUUAACAGGAACAGUCGGGGGCAUCAGUAUUCAGUUGUCAGAGGUGAAAUUCUUGGAUUUACUGAAGACUAACUACUGCGAAAGCAUUUGCCAAGGAUGUUUUCAUUAAUCAGUGAACGAAAGUUAGGGGAUCGAAGACGAUCAGAUACCGUCGUAGUCUUAACCGUAAACUAUGCCGACUAGGGAUCGGA
rnacentral:rRNA from 2 species